AGGAGACCCGGGUGGAGUGAAGAACCAAGUUCUACGUGGACAGAAGGGAUAUCAAAAUGGACAAGAUCUGGAAAUGUGCAGAGAAAAGACUGCUAUGCUAAUGGUGAAGAAAUGUGGAAUCAAUGAGGAUCUACAGAGCUCCAAACAAACACUGGAUAGUGGAAACAGCAAAGUACAGGUUUUAUGAAUGGGAUUAGCCAUCUGCCUCUACCUUGUGGCUUCUCUAUCCUACCCCAAAUAAAAAAAUUAAAAUAUCUGUAGUGAUGCAAAACGA